UCUAAUAUUUGAACACACCAGGAAACUAUAAUCUCCUCCUUCAUCUUAUCGAUCUCUUCCUUACAGUAAUUUAGUCAUACCAAUAACUGCUAUUUCUACCAAUAUAUUCACCCUCAUAAUCUCCAACUGUAAUACUACGCCCUCACAGCUUUCAACACACAAUUACCCUCAUUCCAAUCACUUGAAUUCUUCACAUAGAACUGCCAUUCACAUUACGGUGUUUCACACAAACACAAACUCAUUCUCUCUAUUGAAUUAUAAUCAGAUUUCAGCAUUCAAUCUUUCUUCUUCUCAAAUAAUACCAAUCACAUUUCCAUUCCAUAAU
rnacentral:lncRNA from 1 species